AUGUAUCUACUAUUUACAUUACCAUAAAUACAAUCCAGACAACAAUACAACACAACAAUAUUGUGAGAUGAUAAAAAAAACAAUUGUCAGCAAAAUUCUUUAGUAAUAAUAAUACAUUUUAUUUAAAUAGCGCUUUACAUGGUACUCACACUCACAUGGUAGACACUUUAAAGUAAAACCAGUACAGAUAUAGUAGAAACAGAUAAACAAUAAAAUAAAACCAACAAACAAACCAUGCAAAAUAAAUGCCAUUAAAAACAAUACGUUUUUAAUGGCAUUUAUUAUGCAUGGUUUGUUUGUAUAUCUGUACUGGUUUUACUAUCGGACAAAAAAUUCUCUGAAGAGAAAGGCUCGAUUUGAGGCCUUUGACAUUUGGACAAGUAACGUUAAGUUAAAGUUACAUCAGCGUUUCACUUGUCUAUGAACUAAAGGCCGGGUACAGCUUAAUCAUUUUCAUUUAUUUAGGAACGUUUCCUUUUGACAACUAAGAUGAGUUGUACUAUUGUGCAAAUAAUAUAGGUAACAAUUAAGGUGUUUGUAAUUUUUUUUAAACAUUUAGACAAUUUAUGAUAUUUAAGUACCUAACGUUAAAUUAAACCGUUAUAUAUUAUGCUAAUAAUAGCUCGCUGGCUAGGAACGAAGCUGCCGACGCUAGCUACCGUUAGCUAAUGUCACUUAUGAGAAACGCUUGCUAAAGUUAGCUAAUGUCACUUAUGAAAAACGCUAGCUAAAGUUAGCUAACGUCACUUAGAAAAUUUAUUCGUUUCAAAUCGGUAAAAUAAAAUCGGCAUGAUGGAGGCAAUGAGUGUCCCGGACAAGUCUCAAUGUGGAGCCCUGAAGAGGUGUAUUUUGAUUAGUGAUUAGAAUGUGUCACCAUCACUAUGCUAGCUGGAAGGCUCCUUAAGUCUUAAGCAGUUUGGCCAAAACCAGCUGUGUACACGACCAGUGUAGAUUCUAAAGCAUCCAAUGUGUGACAUGAAAAGACUUGUCUGAGAUGGAAAUACAUAACGUUACCUCUUUACGGGGCUUUCUUAUCCUCCUGCUGCUUUUCUGCUGCUGUUAAGUUAGCUUGAUCCGAGUGUGCCAAUUGCCUUGCAACUCACGCAACCAUAAGCUCCGCUGCGCGUGACCGUCGCGCCCCCCAAACACAUAUAACAUUUAAACAUAUGGCGGGGUGGCAUGUUUAUUUGUUUUCAUCAUGGUUUCAUUUCACCUGGGUUUAAUUUCGUUAAUCGAAGUUGUUGGGAGAAAGAUGUGUUAUGCUAGAGGGCGCCACCCGCGAAUUUGGCGCCCUAGGCGGUCGCCUUCGUCGCCUAUAGGAAGGGCCGGCCCACUUGGUCCUUAAUGCAAUUUAUUUAAUGAUAUUUAUGGUCUGCUGCAGUAUUAAUAUCAACUAUUUAAGCUGUGUUCACAACAUAGCAUGAUAAACCACUAAAAUGUUGGCCAGAACGAAAGAACGUGGAUAAUACCGGAAUAAAUAAAAUCGAUAUAUAUUUAAUAAUAAACGACUGCACGUACAAACACGCACGCACGCGCGCUCUAUAAUGCCAUGGCAACCGAACGAUGACCCGACCGAGGGUAUUUAAGGCCAGCGGACUUUCUGAACGUUCCUUUUGCACUUUGACUUGAACACGAACGUUAAACCUCUUGUGAAAUCAAACUGCUGAGAACGAAAUAUUUGAGUUUUUGACUGCUGGACGGAAUCUACUGAAUACGAAUAUUGUUGGUGAAGUGAACGACUAUAUAACAUCUUUUGUGGAGCACAGACGAGGCUGAAACAGGCCCUCAGGAGCGGCAGAGCAUCGAGGACGACCACCUGCUGAAGGAAGUUGGCUGUGAUUGGAACCUUCGGUGUUCAAAUGGCCCAACGGUGCAGCUACACCAGCGUCCAGAUCCCGGACCCUAAUCGGCCCGGGAUCCUGCGGACCAUCCUCAGGCUCAGAGGACUGCCUGACUGCUCUUCUGGAUCUUCAGGUAAGUCUUUAAAGGUAAGUCCCCCAGAACCACCUCAGGGACCAGGUAAGUCUUUAAGGGUAAGUGUCCAAGAACCAUUAUUGAAAAGGAGCUGUGCUAGAGUAGCAUGGGAAAACCAGUCAAACAGUUGGUGGUGUAACAGAGACCCUGGUACUCCAGACAUUAUUUCUUCGCAGGUAAGUCCCCCUACACCUCCUCAGGGACCCAGGGAACCAUUGCAGGUAAGUCCCCCUACACCUCCUCAGGGACCCGGGGAACCAUUGCAGGUAAGUCCUGGUGAGUAUCAGCCGUUAUGGGACCAGCCUGAGCCAGAUUGGGUGGUAGACAUGAGGGUUUAUCUAGAGUGGAGAGACCAGUUUGACAGCUGGUGGUGCAAUAGACGCACUCAAGCUCCAGGUAAUAUUAGGAAGUAUCAUCCAAAUAAGAAUGUUUAUUCAUUUGAAAAAAAAUUAUCUGAUUUUGAAAUUACUUACACAAAAUGAUUUACAUGUUAUUAAUAUUUAAGUUUCAUCACGCUGUAUUUUUUGUAUUAAGUUGUAUUUAGUUGUAUGUUUUUAUUUGAACUCAUCUCCACUUGGCUUAACAUCUACAAUCCACCCCUCUGCCGCUCCUGGCCUGAGCCUUCACCCGACACCUCCAUCCUUCAGUCUUCAAGCGGUCUGCAGUCUUCCUGAACCGCCAUCUCUGGUCCGUGCCGUUGACCUGGAACCCAACGCCAAGAGAUCCUCCCUUCUACGACCGUCGGUCAACCUGCUGGACUUCGCCUCACCACACUUCGGGCCCCCUGACACGCCCGUAUCUCUCGUGGGUCAAGGAUUCUGUGAAGGGGCCACUCCUGGAACCAGAAAGUCGCGGACUACUGGUGGAUUUUUUUUGUUAUCCGACUCAACAAAAUAAACCUUUUUGUUUCACCCCAACUGAUCUGGUGUGCGUCUGGGUGCUGUCCGAGGUAACCGUGACAGUUAUGUUCCAAGAAGCUGUGGUGAAGGAGCUCAAAUUAGGUUUUUAUUAAGUAGAGCCUUAAUGUCUGCACUGGUGCCUUUGGACCAGAUAAUAAAAUCCCUCUCAUUUG